GCCCGGAUGGUGGAAUUGGUAGACACGCUGGUUUCAGGUACCAGAGCCCGUUCGGGUGUGCAAGUUCAAGUCUUGUUCCGGGCA
rnacentral:tRNA from 1 species